AUUGUAUGAGUAAAUCAUGUAGAGUUUAUAGGCUUUCAUAAUUAUAUUAAUACUCGGGACUAAAAAAAAUCACUUUUAUUGUUUGAGUGGUUACAGUAAACGUUUUAACAAUUUAUGUAACAUAUUUUUAUGAGUAUUUUAUUGAGUCUUUAUUCACAGCCAUAACCUCAUCUUUUGAGGUAAAAUCAUAGCAAAGAUGUAAAGGAAACGCCAAAAAAAUGAAAAACAAACUCGCCUGAUAAUUCAGUUCCGGUCAUUUUUUCUUCUCCUCCUACACUAAUGUAUCAAACAACAUUUGAGCCAUGUACAUCUUCAUAGCUUUGUUCAGAUUCGUUGUCAAAAAAGAAAGUGGUAAUGCCCUAAGAAACCAGAUCUAAUGCCGACAAACAACAAAGACUCCAUGAUUUCCGGUCUCAUGGUUAUCUUCAGAUCUGGGGAAAGGAGAUCUAGACAAGUUACGAUGGAGCCAAUCGUUUGGUCUGGUGGUGCAUCAGCCAUCGUGUACAAGAUAUGGUGACGAAGACAUGGUGCGGAGGGCGAAAUCGGCAACGAGUGGCUGUACAGAGAUCAAAGCGAUGCUUUGGUGGUUUGAGAUGUGGUUCGACAGUGGUUGAUAAAAAUAGAUAGAGAUCGAAGAGGACAGCAUGAGAUCGUUUCUGACGAACGGAACAAGUGGUGGUGAAAUGGGGAAAUGACAAUAAGAUACGUUGAGAGUGAAAAGGCAGAUUUCUAAUCAUUUGUUUUCCGGCGGUGGUCUGGUGGUUGUUUAACGGUGGUUCUCCGGCGGAGCAGAUGGUUGAAAUAUGAUAUGUAGUUUAAUUGAAUGGGAGAUAUUUCAAAAUUUUCUAGAUAUUAAAUUAGUAAUUAAAUUAAAUGUCAACUUAUAUAGUAUUUAAUAUAUUUCCUUUUAAAUUCAAAUUUUAAAUUUGAAAUUUAAAUAUAUUAUUUUCUUAAACCUUCAUAUUUAA